GGGGGCGUUUUAGAUUCGCUCGGGAGAGCGAUGGCGGACGUUGCGCGCCGAGAUCUCGUCUGACCUCGUAAAACAGGCGAAAAUUUUUAUAACUGCCAAUAACGAAUACGCAUUAGCCGCGUAAAGCGGCUACAUCCCGCCUUCGAAGCCUGCGGCGAGGGAUUUGGGGUGUCAAACAGCAGGCUGCCCGCCAUGGCUUCUGUUCGUAGCUGUCAGGGGAGAUAAAUCGAACUGGCUCUUGCCUGAUCCCGCUUCCGGGAGCGGGCAAAAGUGAGAAUAAAACGGAAGCUAUGCGCGUAGACGCGGGCGUGGUCGCCUUUCGAUACAGGGGUGCAAGUCCCCUCGCCUCCGCCA
rnacentral:tmRNA from 1 species